UAGAUGUGAAGCGAAUCCAGAAAAUAUGUCCCAGUUCAGAUUGCAGGCUGCAACUCGCCUGCAUGAAGUCGGAAUUGCUAGUAAUCGCAGAUCAGCAUGCUGCGGUGAAUACGUUCCCGGGCCUUGUACACACCGCCCGUCACACCAUGGGAGCCGGUAAUACCCGAAGUCAGUAGUCCAACCUCGUGAGGACGCUGCCGAAGGUAGGAUUGGCGACUGGGGUGAAGUCGUAACAAGGUAGC
rnacentral:rRNA from 1 species